rnacentral:rRNA from 1 species
UACGGGGGGGGCAAGCGUUGUUCGGAAUUACUGGGCGUAAAGGGCUCGUAGGCGGCCAACUAAGUCCGACGUGAAAUCCCCAGGCUUAACCUGGGAACUGCGUCGGAUACUGGAUGGCUUGAAUUCGGGAGAGGGAUGCAGAAUUCCAGGUGUAGCGGUGAAAUGCGUAGAUAUCUGGAGGAACACCGGUGGCGAAGGCGGUUCUCUGGGCCUGUACUGACGCUGAGGAACGAAAGCGUGGGGAGCGAACAGG